rnacentral:rRNA from 1 species
AUACACAGCCAUAUCACUCACUGAAGCUAAGCAGGGCUGAGCCUGGUCAGUACCUGGAUGGGAGACCACAUGGGAACACUAGGUUGCUGUUUGAA